rnacentral:tRNA from 1 species
GGAUUGUGGCUCAGCGGUAGAGCGCUUGCCUAGCACGCGUGAGAGGCCCUGGGUUCGAUCCUCAGCACCA